rnacentral:rRNA from 1 species
GGUAAAGCUUUUGCGGUUUGGGAUGGGCCUGCGUCCUAUCAGGUAGUUGGUGAGGUAAGUGCUCACCAAGCCUAUGACGGGUAGCUGGUCUGAGAGGAUGGUCAGCCAGACUGGGACUGGAACACGGCCCAUACUCCUACGGGAGGCAGCAGCAGGGAAUAUUGCGCAAUGGGCGAAAGCCUGACGCAGUGACGCCGCGUGAGUGAAGACGGCUUUCGAGUUGUAAAACUCUUUUCUGGGGGAAGAGGAAGGACGGUACCCGAGGAAUAAGCGUCGGCUAACUACGUGCCAGCAGCCGCGGUAAGACGUAGGACGCGAGCGUUAUCCGGAUUUACUGGGCGUAAAGCGCCUGUAGGCGGCUUUGUAAGUUGGGCGUGANAGCCCCGUGCUUAACGCGGGGAGGCCGUUCAAUACUGCGGAGCUAGAAGUACGGCAGAGGGGAGUGGAAUUCCUGGAGUAGCGGUAAAGUGCGCAGAUCUCAGGAGGAACACCAGUGGCGAAGGC